GAUGAACGCUGGCGGCGUGCCUAAUACAUGCAAGUCGAGCGAAUGGAUUAAGAGCUUGCUCUUAUGAAGUUAGCGGCGGACGGGUGAGUAACACGUGGGUAACCUGCCCAUAAGACUGGGAUAACUCCGGGAAACCGGGGCUAAUACCGGAUAACAUUUUGAACCGCAUGGUUCGAAAUAGAAAGGCGGCUUCGUCUGUCACUUAUGGAUGGACCAGCGACGCAUUAGUUAGUUGGUGAGGUAACGGCUCACCAAGGCAACGAUGCGUAGCCGACCUGAGAGGGUGAUCGGCCACACUGGGGCUGAGACACGGCCCAGACUCCUACGGGAGGCAGCAGUAGGGAAUCUUCCGCAAUGGACGAAAGUCUGACGGAGCAACGCCGCGUGAGUGAUGAAGGCUUUCGGGUCGUAAAACUCUGUUGUUAGGGAAGAACAAGUGCUAGUUGGAUAAGCUGGCACCUUGACGGUACCUAACCAGAAAGCCACGGCUAACUACGUGCCAGCAGCCGCCGUAA
rnacentral:rRNA from 1 species